rnacentral:tRNA from 1 species
GAGAUCUUAGCUUAAUGGUAAAGUAUGUGACUUUUAAUCAUUAUGAUACAGGUUCAAAUCCUGUAGAUCUCC